AAGAUCAUACUUUCAGGGAUAAUUUCUAUUGUCUUUGACUUGUGAAAUAUCGUACGAAAGUGAUCGGUUACUCUAACCACGAUGAAGAGAACUGAUGUUCCCUUCUGAGCGCGAAGCAGGCAGUGAGUGAUGAUGCAUUUCAUCCGCUCCUUGUCAUUGAUGACCCGUCCCUGCUCUCUAGUGAAGCCUUGAGGUAGGGAACAUGCUCAGAGUUGU
ensembl:snoRNA U3 Small nucleolar RNA U3